UCCUACGGGAGGCAGCAGUGGGGAAUAUUGCACAAUGGGCGCAAGCCUGAUGCAGCAACGCCGCGUGAGGGAUGACGGCCCUCGGGUUGUAAACCUCUUUUAGUAGGGAAGAAGCGAAAGUGACGGUACCUGCAGAAAAAGCACCGGCUAACUACGUGCCAGCAGCCGCGGUAAUACGUAGGGUGCAAGCGUUGUCCGGAAUUAUUGGGCGUAAAGAGCUCGUAGGCGGUUUGUCGCGUCUGCUGUGAAAUCCCGAGGCUCAACCUCGGGCUUGCAGUGGGUACGGGCAGACUAGAGUGCGGUAGGGGAGAUUGGAAUUCCUGGUGUAGCGGUGGAAUGCGCAGAUAUCAGGAGGAACACCGAUGGCGAAGGCAGAUCUCUGGGCCGUAACUGACGCUGAGGAGCGAAAGCGUGGGGAGCGAACAGGAUUAGAUACCCUGGUAGUCCACGCCGUAAACGUUGGGCGCUAGAUGUAGGGACCUUUCCACGGUUUCUGUGUCGUAGCUAACGCAUUAAGCGCCCCGCCUGGGGAGUACGGCCGCAAGGCUAAAACUCAAAUGAAUUGACGGA
rnacentral:rRNA from 1 species